GACGAACGCUGGCGGCGUGCUUAACACAUGCAAGUCGAACGGAAAGGCCCUGCUUUUGUGGGGUGCUCGAGUGGCGAACGGGGGAGUAACACGUGAGUAACCUGCCCUUGACUUUGGGAUAACUUCAGGAAACUGGGGCUAAUACCGGAUAGGAGCUCCUGCUGCAGGGAGGGGGUUGGAAAGUUUCGGCGGUUGGGGAUGGACUCGCGGCUUAUCAGCUUGUUGGUGGGGUAGUGGCUUACCAAGGCUUUGACGGGUAGCCGGCCUGAGAGGGUGACCGGCCACAUUGGGACUGCGAUACGGCCCAGACUCCUACGGGAGGCAGCAGUGGGGAAUAUUGCACAGUGGGCGGAAGCCUGAUGCAGCAACGCCGCGUGCGGGAUGACGGCCUUCGGGUUGUAAACCGCUUUCGCCUGUGACGAAGCGUGAGUGACGGUAAUGGGUAAAGAAGCACCGGCUAACUACGUG
rnacentral:rRNA from 1 species